ACUAAAAUCUUCAUCAUUUAUUCCCACUUGCUUAAAACAACGACUUUACUUAUAUUGUAAUAUCGAUAAUGUGCUUUCAUUAUAUCGUGUUUGUUUAUUUAGACGAUGUUAAUAAUUAUCUACAUUUAGAUAUAUAAACAUUGAAAAAAAUGGGGAUUAUAUAAGACCAAGGCGAAAGAUAAAAAUAUAUAUAUAAAUACAUGUAUAACACUAGAUCUAGACUCAUUUCUUUAUAUUCAUAUGAUUAACUUCUUCGGUUUCCAAUGGAAACUUUCUACGGUCUGAAAGUAAGGAGAAAAAAUUAAAUUAGGAAAAUAUAUACUAGGUAUGUUUUAACAAUGAGUUACAGGAUUAUUCUCGUAAAACUAUGCUUCAAUAUAAAGUGUAAGUGUACGGUGAUUUUGCCUGGUCAGACUAUACAGCAAAACCAUUCUAUUGAAGUAAUGUAAUAAUUAUUCUAUUUUGCAUUUGUGUUUUCUUUUAUGAACACCGCUUUACUAUAUGUCUAGUUCUUGAAGAAAAUGAGCAAUGUAGAUAUUUUUUUAAACAAUGGAUGAAAAUCGAUAGAGUACUUUCAAAAUAGGUAACGGGUGCUUUCGUCCCUUGUGAAUUUGCUACUAACUAUUUUUGUUACAAUACAAUGUGCUUGUUUAUUGGUCAAAAGAAGUUUUGGUGAACGUGUUCAAAGAUCAGACAAUUAUAGAAUAUGAAAAAUAAACAAUGAUAUAAACAUGAGACAGAUACAAACAAGACAAUGUUGUUAUUUAAUAUAAUCAUUUUGAAGCAAUGGAUUCACUCACUCUGACUCUAAGUCUCGCUGAUUAUAAAUCAUAUACAUGCUGUGGAAACAUGUAACACCAAAUUUGUACAUGUAUCUCCACGUCAUUCAUAACAAUUCAUCAGCUUUAUCUUUGAAUAAUGUAGUUCAUAUAGUAAAUAGUAUUUUUUUUUUGGGAGUGGGGUGGGGCUGAAGUUGUUGUUGUUAAAACACAAAUAAUGAUAAGAAUUUAAAUUUUAGCAUUUCAUUAAUCAUAUUUUUGAAGAAGGCAGAAGCUGUAUUGCUUUAAUAUAAAAACAAAAUUUUAAAGAAGCUCUAGAACAAAGUUAUAGUAAACACGGUCAAAUUGAUAUGUGUAGGUUUAUUCAUAGAGAUAUAUAUGCUAACACAUGUACAUACAUGCCAGAUUUACAUGUAAUUAACUACAUCUGGACAUGUCAUACUAAGUUUUACUUUCUUGUUGUUUGACUACAAGUUUACUUUGUAAAUUAAACAAAAUUUAAAACGGAACAAAAAAUUUAAAUAGAUAUAUAUACACAUAUACAUUGUACUUGUAUAUAAAUUAUAAACAUCAAAUGCAAUGUUGUGUAACAAUAUACCAAGUUUUAUCUCAACUUUACUUCUAAACAGCACUAAAAUUGCAAAAUAUGAGAACAGAAGCUAUUUUCCUCAUCUAGUGUUUAAUUUUAUGGAAUAAAUAUCAUAUUCGCUCUGAAUAGAGACAUAACUAACAUAAUAUUAUGCCUCUGUGUACAUGUACAAUUCUUCCAUGCACUCUUAGAAAAAGGUAAGAUGUAAAACGAAAUUCUGAGCGUAUAUGAAUAAAUCACAUCACGAAACUGAUACCACCGCGAUAAUGUACAAGUAAGUAUACAUCAAAAUAGUUAGGACAAAAUGACCCGGGGCGAAUCAGCCAUUGGUCAAGACACCGUAAAACCUAUAUUUUCGAAGGAAGUCAUGUGUUCGGAGAUUAUAUAUCAAAUUAAGAGUCUGAGACAGUUGUUUUUCAGUGAUUCAUCAGUAUGUGAUAUUUGCCCAAAGAUGGAUCUUAAUACCCACAUACUUGGACAAAGAAUAGAGAUUUUCAUGGGAUUUAUCUCCAGAGGUCUAAUGCAGAAUAAAAAUUAAGAGUCUGGACAGAAGCGAAUGUGUAUCAAUGGACUAAACUUAUCUUGAGCUGGUACCGGUUUUCUAAGCAACAAUGUUGGUAGGCGACAGUGGCCCACUGUCUCAGUUUUGCCACAGUCCAGGGUCAGCACCAAGCUACAUGUAUAGGACUCCUACCUAAUUACUAAAAUUAUCUUUAUGAAGAAAAUUUACAAGACUUUUUGAUGACUGGGAAGACAUAUUAAAUCUGAUUGAAUUUACACACUUGAUUGAUUAGCUUUGUCAACACAAUAGCCAAAUAUAAACUAGUAUACUAUUUUAGCAUUAUUUAACAAGUAUAAGUCAGACAGUUUAGAAUUUUAUGAUCCUAUAGUAAAGGAAAAAUUACAGUGUUUAGAUAUAUUCAAUUCAUCUCAGUUGUUCUUAAUGCAUAUGCAUGUACAUGUAUAAAUACAUGUAUAUGACUUUUUUUAAUAAAGUAUACAUAUAUAGCUGAUGUAAUGACAUUGAUAUAAUCAGAAUUGAUAUGUGUAUAGGUAUUCUGUAUUGCUUUAUCUAGGUUGGAUCUUGAAAGCAUGUGUAUGGUACACUGUAUCAUAAAGAUGAUUUUUUCAUUCUUUGUUUACAGUUAUUGUCAUAAAGGGCAUAUGAACAGAUUUUUUUUCUUUGACUCCUUUUACUUAUAUAUAUAUAUAUAUAUAUAUAUAUAUAUAUAUAUAUAUAUAUAUAUAUAUAUAUAUAUAUAUAUAUAUAUAUAUAUAUAUAUAUAUAUAUAUAUAUAUAUAUAUAUAUAUAUAUAUAUAUAUAUAUAUAUUGUAGUCUCCUGGGGCCAUAAUACAAACACCUAGUAACAAUAUUGUUUGAAUUAUAUAUACCGUAGAUGGGUUUCUGAGUGCACUGAUUUACUUGUACUCAUCCAUGUACAUGUACAAAUACAAUUGCAUUUUGUAUAUGUUUGUGCAUUUGCUGAUAAUUUCAAGCACCAUAAAAUCUGUUGUAUUAAUUCAUUUUGUAAACUGCAGCAUAUUUUGACAGGUGGGGUAUCGUUACAUAAUUAUGUACUAGAAAAAUGUAUACGGUAUAUCCCAUUUCAUUUUCUUGAGCGGAAGGGGGGGGGGGGGGGGGGUCAGUGCCUAUAUGCACAUAACUAUUCUACGUUAAUAAGUUUGCAUUUUACACUUACCCUACAGACUACCACCCCUCUGUAAUUAUUUUUGUUCAUGAUCGAAUAUUAAUUCAUAUACAUGUACCAAUUGAUUCAAUAAAUGUAAAUGAUA